UACGGAGGGGGCAAGCGUUAUUCGGAAUUAUUGGGCGUAAAGGGCGCGUAGGCGGCUAGAUGUGUCAAAGGUGAAAUCCCUCGGCUCAACUGAGGAACUGCCUUUGAAACUGUCUGGCUUGAGGCCGGGAGAGGGUAGCGGAAUUCCCAGUGUAGCGGUGAAAUGCGUAGAUAUCAGGAGGAACACCGAUGGCGAAGGCAGGUCACUGGGCCGCAACUGACGCUGAGGAGCGAAAGCAUGGGGAGCGAACAGG
rnacentral:rRNA from 1 species